UUUCUGAACACUGUCUCAUUCUAUUGCCAUCUGUGCAAAGCAUGAAGCCAAAGGAAAUGUUUUUACCAAGGCAUGUUCCUCAAUAGCGGAGAGAGUUUUAUCCAGUGUCGGUUCUGCAGAAGAACCCAUUCAUAGCAGACCAAACAUUGCAGCACUUGUAAGGUCGCUAUAAAGAACCCGACAGACUCUGCGACCAAAAGAUCCCACUGACGUGUCGUCAAGCCUUGACGAAGAUUUCAUCGAUCAUAGUGCACCGGGAUUUUAUCAAAAAAGAGUAAAAGUUGGGGAAAGGUGCCAUCACAUUUUUUGUACUGAUAGACAGAUGCAACUACUCGCACGCGCAAAAACUUGGUAUAUGGAUGCAACUUUUCGGGUGGUGAACAAGCCAUGGUCUCAGCUGUUUUCCAUACACGCCUUCAUUAAGACUGGAGAGACCACCCGACAGUUACCAUUGGUGUUUUGUGUAAUGUCGGGUAAAAGCCAAGACGACUAUUAUAAGUUUCCAUAUUAGAUGCCAUAGCAAAUCAAAGAUCAUAUAAUAAAAUAAGUCAAAAAACCCAAAUCUGGAAAAAGAAAGAGCUGAAGAAAUGGUGAUUUGAGCACCUAUGCUUUCUCAUAGGUGUUUUUGGAGGUUUCCAUAUUAGAUGCCAUAGCAAAUCAAAGAUCAUAUAAUAAAAUAAGUCAAAAAACCCAAAUAUGGGAAAAGAAAGAGCUGAAGAAAUGGUGAUUUGAGCACCUAUGAUUUCUCAUAGGUGUUUUUGGAGGUUAACUACAUCAGAAAGAUCAAGACAGUUGGAAAUGGCUAUUCAUAUUAUGGAAACUUUUUCUCACAGAGCUUGAUAAUCAGGUAAAAUGCUGGAAGAUUAUUUGAUGUAUGAUAACAACAAGAGAUCCCAAGCAUCAAUUUAUUUUAUAAUUCUGGAAAAGAAUGCAUUUGACCCAAUUUUUGAAUAUUUUUUUUUGUUUUUACUGUUAAAUAUUCAUCCCAAACACAAUUAGAUUUUAAUUCUCUACAGAAAUUUAUGUAUAAUAUAGAAUGUAAAGUGACAUAUAAAUCACUUAGAAUUUGGUCGGAAAUCAUAAAGUAUUUAAUAGGCAUAGUCUAGAAACCAAAUGUAGAUCAAAUAUACCCAGAAUUACAAAAAACCUUGACCUACAUUAAGGUGACUUUCCCUUGCUUAUGAAAUGAAAUAGGGUUUAAUAUCCUACUUUUCUGUGUUAUUAUGGUGAUUCUGCCCUACAACCUACUCUUAUAUCAAAUAUUUCAACUGUCAAGGGUUGCUUAAAGGGAACCCAGGAGGGCCGAAUGGUUAACACACGCACAUUGGAUCAGAAGGGUCUGUCAUUGAGUCAGAUAAUUCAAUUGUCAAGGGUUCUUUAAAGUAAACGCAGUGGGGGUAGUUUCAAUUCUGGGCUUAUACCCAAUUAUCCCUUGCCAUGUCCUACACUACUGACGUGUGGGAACUAUGUCGGAAAAUCCAGUUGAAAUUUCUCGGCCAAUGCACUCACUGAACCACAGUGGCUCCUCCUUGCUUUUGACUUGUGAUUAUUUAUAUAUAGUUUGUACAUAUUAUUUAAUGUUUGCGAUUUUCUCUGAUAUUUUUUUAUUUUUCAAUCCUGUAAUCUUGAUGCUUUGCUCCUUUUAUGUACAAAAUAUUCAUUUUGUUUGAGGAAAAGGUUCUACAUCAUUUUAUUACGCCUGCAAAAUAGUGCAUUUU